rnacentral:other from 1 species
UAACCCCUGCCGUGUUCGUGAUUGGAAGGUGAACUUUGACCCAACACUCACUAAACGGGAGCCCGAACUGGUUUUCGGUGAGCAGGUUCUGCUUGUACAGAAAAGCCUAAAGAGACCAUAGGGCACCCACCUGAUCCUAUGGAUCAAAGACCGGCCAACACGGCACAAUGGUGGGGGUACA